rnacentral:lncRNA from 1 species
CAUAAAAUAAUAUAAUAACACCCACUUUAAUAAAACUAGAGGCGCAAAGAUAAAAAACCGGGAGUGUGUCUAGACCAAACCCGUAAAGAUUAGGGUGCAGCAAUGCAAUGCAGGGUGGCACGGGAUCUGUUUGGCCCAACUCUUAGGCCUUUUUUUUAUUUCCAAAUCAGAAAGCAUUUAGGGUUCUCUUCUUCUUCCGCGUAGAACCAAGGUUAGGCUGGCUUCAUUGUCCAAGUAGAUCCAUGGUUCCAGACUAGCGCCGCCGCACACCUCCUUGGCCUACCAACAGUCAUUGCCGAUGGUGUUGCCUGCACCAGAAACAUUAUCGUUUUUCGUGAGCCACCGCCGCAGGAACACCAACCCCUCGUCGGACCACCACCGUGAGCAACCACCGCGCCUCCGAAAGUCAACACGAACUCCAAUCGCAUAGCUGCGACGAUCACCACGUGAAUCUCCUCUUUUAUUCUCAAAUGCACUCUAGUCUAUUACACACAUUCUAUUUUGGGUUGGGAUCUCACGUUGAUAAGGUUUUACAUGUUUUCCUUUUUGUUUAAUAAAACUUUAUUUGUUUCUUGGAUUUGUUCCAGUGCCGACAGGAAAUGGAUUCGUUGGGGAACAAAACUUAGUCUCUAUUGUUAUUUAAGUCUGAUGGGAUUUACUGAAAUUACAUUUUGUAUAGCUUUGAUUAACAUAUUAUAUCUCAAAGAACACAACCAUGCAUUACAUUCAUAACCAGACAUGUAACAGAGACAUGAGAUGUAAUAGAGGAGCAUGCAUUCACAUACAACCAAGCUUAGACACGACAACUUACCUCCGCUGCUUUAAAAGAAAGGGUGAAAGAAACUGAUGAAGGCAGAUGGCUCUCCCCUCCUCUGGCCGUGAGGUCCCUUCCUACCAAGUAGUGAUGAUCGGUGAUGGCUUAGAGUCUCCAAUGUUUGGUGAUGGUAAGGUGUUUCUUUCGANNNN